AGUGAACGCUGGCGGUAGGCCCCAUACACGUAAGCUGAACGGCAGGACAGUAAGAGUUUUCCCUGACGGGGGGCGAGCGGCGUACUGUGGGGGUAGACAGUGGAACCGACGUUUUUGUGGGGGAACAAGAAGGGAAAAUUAAGGGACUACCGCACACUGCCUAGGGGUUAAACCAGGAGAACUUCGGACCUUGCGCUGAUGAAUGAGACGAUGUCGGAUUAGCUAGUUGGCGGGGUAAAGGCCCACCAAGGCGACGAUCCGUAGCUGGUCUGAGAGGAUGAUCAGCCACACUGGAACUGAGACACGGUCCAGACUCCUACGGGAGGCAGCAGUGGGGAAUAUUGGACAAUGGGCGCAAGCCUGAUCCAGCCAUACCGCGUGGGUGAAGAAGGCCUUCGGGUUGUAAAGCCCUUUUGUUGGGAAAGAAAAGCAGCAGGUUAAUACCCCGCUGUUCUGACGGUACCCAAAGAAUAAGCACCGGCUAACUUCGUG
rnacentral:rRNA from 1 species